rnacentral:tRNA from 1 species
GCGAGUGUGGCGGAACAGGCAGACGCAACGGACUUAAAAUCCGUCGGUUGGUGACAAUCGUACCGGUUCGACCCCGGUCACUCGCA